rnacentral:rRNA from 1 species
CUUGUGCCGGCGAUGGUUCAUUCAAAUUUCUGCCCUAUCAACUUUCGAUGGUAGAGUAGUGGUCUACCAUGGUUUCAACGGGUAACGGGGAAUUAGGGUUCUAUUCCGGAGAGGGAGCCUGAGAAACGGUACCACAUCCAAGGAAGGCAGCAGGCGCGCAAAUUACCCAAUCCCGACACGGGGAGGUAGUGACAAUAAAUACUGAUACAGGGCUCUUUUGGGUCUUGUAAUUGGAAUGAGUACAAUUUAAAUCCCUUAACGAGGAACAAUUGGAGGGCAAGUCUGGUGCCAGCAGCCGCGGUAAUUCCAGCUCCAAUAGCGUAUAUUAAAGUUGUUGCAGUUAAAAAGCUCGUAGUUGAACCUUGGGCCUGGCCGGCCGGUCCGCCUCACCGCGUGCACUGGUCCGGCCGGGCCUUUCCUUCUGGGGAGCCGAUGCCCUUCACUGGGUGUGUCCGGGGAACCAGGACUUUUACUUUGAAAAAAUUAGAGUGUUCAAAGCAGGCCUAUGCUCGAAUACAUUAGCAUGGAAUAAUAGAAUAG